GGCCAGACUCCUACGGGAGGCAGCAGUGGGGAAUAUUGCACAAUGGGGGAAACCCUGAUGCAGCGACGCCGCGUGAGCGAUGAAGUAUUUCGGUAUGUAAAGCUCUAUCAGCAGGGAAGAAAAUGACGGUACCUGACUAAGAAGCCCCGGCUAACUACGUGCCAGCAGCCGCGGUAAUACGUAGGGGGCAAGCGUUAUCCGGAUUUACUGGGUGUAAAGGGAGCGUAGGCGGCAAGGUAAGCCAGAAGUGAAAGCCCGCGGCUCAACUGCGGGACUGCUUUUGGAACUAUCUAGCUAGAUUGCAGGAGAGGUAAGUGGAAUUCCUAGUGUAGCGGUGAAAUGCGCAGAUAUCAGGAGGAACACCGGUGGCGAAGGCGGCCUGCUGGACGGUAACUGACGCUGAGGCUCGAAAGCGUGGGGAGCGAACAGGAUUAGAUACCCUUGUA
rnacentral:rRNA from 1 species